GACGAACGCUGGCGGCGUGCCUAACACAUGCAAGUCGAACGAGAAACCGGUGCUUGCACCGGUGGACAGUGGCGAACGGGUGAGUAACACGUGACCAACCUGGCUUCGAGAGGGGGACAACCCGGGGAAACCUGGGCUAAUACCGCAUGACGUUCUCUUUUCGCAUGAUUUGAGAAUCAAAGGGGGCCUCUGCUUGCAAGCUCUCGCUCGAAGGGGGGUCGCGCUGUAUCAGCUUGUUGGUGGGUAACGGCCUACCAAGGCUAUGACGCAUAGCGGGUCUGAGAGGACGACCCGCCACAUUGGGACUGAGAUACGGCCCAGACUCCUACGGGAGGCAGCAGUGGGGAAUUUUGCGCAAUGGGCGAAAGCCUGACGCAGCGACGCCGCGUGCGGGAGGAAGCCUUUCGGGGUGUAAACCGCUGUCAGGGGGGAAGAACCCUGGUGUUGGGAAUACCUUCACCAGUUGACGGUACCUCCAGAGGAAGCGCCGGCUAACUCCGUG
rnacentral:rRNA from 1 species